AUCCAGCUGACGAGUCCCAAAUAGGACGAAACUGGCGUCACGGAU
rnacentral:hammerhead_ribozyme from 1 species